ensembl:lncRNA
GCGCAUGCUGCAGCAAGUUAGUCUGCUGAACUUUGAUAGCUUGCAAACGGCAUUAGUUUACCAAAUUUAGAAACAAUGCUCGGGAGCAACACUGGUAUUGGAAAGGCUACUGCUUUGGAUUUGACCAAGAGAGGUGCCAGGGUCAUCCCUGCCUGCCGCAGCAAACAGAAGGCAGAGGCUGCUGUCUAUGAUAUCAGAAGGGUUAGAGGAGCCUUAUAGAUGAAAUAAAUAAUGGAGCCGGGGGAACGAGGUGGUGUUCAUGCAGCUGCAUCUGGGGAGUCUGAAGUCUGUUCGGGGGAACGAGGUGGUGUUCAUGCAGCUGCAUCUGGGGAGUCUGAAGUCUGUUCUGGGGAGGG